rnacentral:rRNA from 1 species
UACGGAGGGUGCUAGCGUUGUUCGGAUUUACUGGGCGUAAAGGGCGCGUAGGCGGCCACCGCAAGUCGACUGUGAAAUCUCCGGGCUUAACCCGGAAAGGUCAGCCGAUACUGCGGGGCUAGAGUGCAGAAGGGGCAACUGGAAUUCUCGGUGUAGCGGUGAAAUGCGUAGAUAUCGAGAGGAACACCUGCGGCGAAGGCGGGUUGCUGGGCUGACACUGACGCUGAGGCGCGAAAGCUAGGGGAGCGAACGGG